rnacentral:rRNA from 1 species
CCUGAGUACGACGGAGCACGUGAAAUUCCGUCGGAAUCUGGGAGGACCAUCUCCUAAGGCUAAAUACUCUCUAGUGACCGAUAGUGAACCAGUACCGUGAGGGAAAGGUGAAAAGUACCCCGGAAGGGGAGUGAAAGAGAACUUGAAACCGUGUGCUUACAAGUAGUCAGAGCCCGUUAAUGGGUGAUGGCGUGCCUUUUGUAGAAUGAACCGGCGAGUUACGAUCUGAUGCAAGGUUAAGCAGAAAAUGUGGAGCCGUAGCGAAAGCGAGUCUGAAUAGGGCGAAUGAGUAUUUGGUCGUAGACCCGAAACCAGGUGAUCUACCCUUGGUCAGGUUGAAGUUCAGGUAACACUGAAUGGAGGACCGAACCGACUUACGUUGAAAAGUGAGCGGAUGAACUGAGGGUAGCGGAGAAAUUCCAAUCGAACUUGGAGAUAGCUGGUUCUCUCCGAAAUAGCUUUAGGGCUAGCCUCAAGUGAUGAUUAUUGGAGGUAGAGCACUGUUUGGACGAGGGGCCCCUCUCGGGUUACCGAAUUCAGACAAACUCCGAAUGCCAAAUAAUUUAACUUGGGAGUCAGAAUGUGGGUGAUAAGGUCCAUAUUCGAAAGGGAAACAGCCCAGACCACCAGCUAAGGU